AACGAACGCUGGCGGCAUGCCUAACACAUGCAAGUCGAACGAGACCUUCGGGUCUAGUGGCGCACGGGUGCGUAACGCGUGGGAACCUGCCCUUAGGUUCGGAAUAACUCCCCGAAAGGGGUGCUAAUACCGGAUAAUGUCUUCGGACCAAAGAUUUAUCGCCUUUGGAUGGGCCCGCGUUGGAUUAGCUAGUUGGUAGGGUAAAAGCCUACCAAGGCGACGAUCCAUAGCUGGUCUGAGAGGAUGACCAGCCACACUGGGACUGAGACACGGCCCAGACCCCUGCGGGGGGCGGCAGGGGGAAUAUUGGGAAAAUGGGGAAAAGCCUGAUCCAGCAUGGCCGGGGGGGUGAUGAAGGCCUUAGGUUUGAAAAGCUCUUUUACCCGGGAUGUUAAUGACAGUCCCGGGAGAAUAAGCCCCGGCAAACUCCGU
rnacentral:rRNA from 1 species